GCGCCCGUAGCUCAGCGGAUAGAGCGCUUGACUACGAAUCAAGAGGUCCCAGGUUCAAAUCCCGGCGGGCGCACCA
rnacentral:tRNA from 3 species